rnacentral:rRNA from 1 species
AUUGAACGCUGGCGGCAUGCCUUACACAUGCAAGUCGAACGGUAGAGGGGGCAACCCCUCGAGAGUGGCGAACGGGUGAGUAAAGCAUCGGAACGUGCCCAGUAGUGGGGGAUAGCCCGGCGAAAGCCGGAUUAAUACCGCAUGAGACCUACGGGUGAAAGGGGGGGAUCGCAAGACCUCUCGCUAUUGGAGCGGCCGAUGUCAGAUUAGGUAGUUGGUGGGGUAAAGGCCGACCAAGCCGACGAUCUGUAGCUGGUCUGAGAGGACGACCAGCCACACUGGGACUGAGACACGGCCCAGACUCCUACGGGAGGCAGCAGUGGGGAAUUUUGGACAAUGGGCGAAAGCCUGAUCCAGCCAUGCCGCGUGCGGGAAGAAGGCCUUCGGGUUGUAAACCGCUUUUGUCAGGGAAGAAAUCCUUUGAGCUAAUACCUCGGGGGGAUGACGGUACCUGAAGAAUAAGCACCGGCUAACUACGUGCCAGCAGCCGCAGUAACAC